rnacentral:rRNA from 1 species
UACGUAGGGUGCGAGCGUUAAUCGGAAUUACUGGGCGUAAAGCGUGCGCAGGCGGUUCGUUGUGUCGGCGGUGAAAGCCCCGGGCUUAACCUGGGAAUGGCCGUUGAAACUGGCGAACUGGAGUGUGGCAGAGGGGGGUGGAAUUCCGCGUGUAGCAGUGAAAUGCGUAGAGGUGCGGAGGAACACCGGUGGCGAAAGCGGCGACCUGGACAGGUACUGACACUCAACUACGAAAGCGUGGGGAGCAAACAGG